GGAACUUUUAGAUUCUCAACUCUUGUUUUUCACAGAUCUACCAAUUUACUUAGGAGCUAUCUCAUCUAAAAGAAAUAAAUCUUUUACCCCCUGAUGCUGAAUGCCAAGCUACUGCUCCUAAGAGAAGGGAAGUGAAAAAAAAACAAUCCCCUACCAAUGUUUAUUAGCAUGGACCACGAUGUUUUAACUCAAGGAGGAAGAUUUGAGAAAACUGAUUUUCCAUUUUGUUUCAUCUACCCUCACCACCUGAUUGAUUAGAGAACUGGAAUUUGUUGAAUGUGUACAUCAAACCCUGAGCCUGGAAUAAAGAUGUUACCUUACAAUGGCCUUCCAUGGUCCAUUUGAUGACAGUCUUCAUCCCGGUGCCUCAACCUCAGAUAGGACUGAGCCAAGAUAUUUGGGCAUACCCGGAGCAAGCUGAUAACUGUACCAACUGCAUCAGAUGAGGAGGUUCCUAUCUGUGUAGGAGUCACUUAUUGAGGGGAUCCUCAGGUCACAAGUAUGUAUUUAUUUAUGUAUUUAUUUUAAAAAUAUUUCAUUUACUUAUUUGAGAGUGAGCAAGCACAAACAGGAGAAGAGGCAGAGGGAGAAGGAGAUGCAGACUCGCAGCUGAGCGUGGAGCCUGAUGUGGGGCUCGGUCCCAGGGCCCUGAGAUCAUGACCUGAGCCGAAAUCAAGAGUUAGAUGCUUAACUGACUGAGCCACCCAGGCACCCUGGUCACAAGUAUUUAAAUUCUUCUGUCUCAUCAUCAUUAUUUUUCUUCCUGUAUUGCUCCUCUGCUUUUCCAGACACUUUCCCUUAGCAUAGUCAUUACCCAUAGUUCUGACUUAGUUCUGAAAGCAAAUCUGCUCAGAUACCUGGGUAUUCCACUAUUCUGAAUUGGACAUGUCACUGUUGCUCCAUCCACCUCUCCUGCACUUCUAAUACGCCAUCUGAUCCAGAUUUUUGCCUUGCCAUUGUAACCUCUGUUUACCACCAUCGAUAUUCUAGUUCAUCUAAUCAAUGUCAUGAAAUGCUUCUCUGCUAGUCCUGGUCUAUCUGCUGAUUUUUCCAUGGAGGUUUUUUCUUUUUAAAUUUCUUUAAGAUUUUAUUUAUCUAUUUAUGAGACACACAGAGAGAGAGAGAGGCAGAGACACAGGCAGAGGGAGAAGCAGGCUCCCCAAUGGAGCCUGAUGCAGGACUCGAUCCUAGAACCCUGGGAUCAUGCCCUGAGCCAAAGGCA
rnacentral:lncRNA from 12 species